UAAUUACAGAUCUACCUUUAGCACAGAAGUAGCCAUAGACACUAUGCAGAUAUGUGAGUUGGCUGUGUUCCAGUUCGACUUUAUUUGCAAAUACAGGUAGCAAGCCAGAUUUGGCCCAAGAGCCCUGGUUUGCCAACCCUGCUUUAUGGUGAGGUAAGGUCUAUGGGGCGUUAUUUUUGCUCCUCCUUCCACCUUUCUUUUUAUACUUCUAGGUGUUUUGAAACUAAAGUGAGAUGAAUGUGGCCAUUCCGUAGUCUACAGUUUGACCUUGACAUACCGAAGUCAAUUUUUUUUUUUUUAUAUUUUCCUAAGUUACAUUCUUGUUAGGUAGCCUUUCCCCUUUUUGAGACAGAUGUAAGAAGAAAAUAUUUUUUACUUUAUAAGCUCUUACUUCAGAAGAGGGUAAUGAGUUUUAUACUGUAAACACUUCAGUUGGAACUUAAAAGAUAUUGAGAUAUAUUCCUUUUUAAUCAGGCAAAACUGGAAUUGAAAUUUAUUUGGGUAGCUAAUCAGAAAACUAAUCAAUCAAAGGUUUUUUUCUUUUUUUUUGAGUGCAAAGCUGAGACCCGACUCUUUAUUUGGAUAGACUGUUCCUUUACCUUAUCAUAAGUUAAUUGAUGUAAUGCCAGGUCAAGAAACAGCAUUUUCAGUUAAAUGAAAUACUGUGCUGCUGUUAAUAAUGAGUCCUCUGCAGAUGUAUGGCUGUGUCUUUGUGAACUAUAAUGAAAUGUGAGAAGAAUGUAGUCUUCAUAUGAUUAGAACUGUCUAGGAAUGUGUUUGAUACAAUCAUAAGGAUGAAUUGCCUUAGACUUUUUACCUAGUGUUAAUGGGAAGAGAUUUUGGCCUGAAUUUUUAUUGUCUUCAGGAAAUUUCUGUUUUAUCUUAAGGUUGGUUAAAUAUAUAAACAACGAUUCAGUAGGAAUUUUUAAAAUCCCUAAUGGACUUCAAUAUGAAAAGAAAGUAAAGAAUGUUUUUUUCUAAGCCUUAAGCCAAUACUUAGCACAUUUCAUACCAUUUUAGCAGCACUUGUCAGAAAGAAAAUUUUAAAAAUAUAGUGGAUUUUGUUUGGUUGCCAGAAUGCACACUUAAACUUGUUCUGCAAUUUUCUCUUCAUUUGAUCCCCAAAUGAACCUCUGGAAGGUAGCCUUUUCUUAAGUUUCCUCCUGCACUUUAAAAUCACCCUACUUGCACCUCUUCAAGUAGGUCUUUCAGGAGACGUGCACCUUGUCUUUGCCAAGGUAUGCCUCUGGCUUCCUCCCCGACGGUUUCCACAGCUUUCCUUCUCCUUGCAGCAGGCGUUUCCACUUAAUAGCUGCCUCUCAGCAUCUCUCUAGAGAUCCAAUCCCAAAUCUGUAAACCUUCUUGGCUUUUUUUUUUUUUAUGAAGAUAAAAUAUGUAACAAUAAGACACUAGACCAUAUAGUAGUUAUCCAGUAAAUCAUAGCUGUCAUCGUUGUUGUUAUUUUAGAAAUCCUGCAUUUUAUCCUCUUGCAUGGUCUGCUCCUUUUCGACUACCAACUUGCCCAUGUGUUUUCUCCUAAAACACGUUGUUCAAGUUGCUUGUCCCUGGAGCCCUGGCAUUUUCUCCUCCUCACCAUUGUUCUCACACCUCUACCAUGGAAACCUUGGCAGCCUGCUUUCUGGACCCAUCUCACCAAAUGCCCAUGCAGCUACCACACUGCGGCUUUUUCUUGAUCUCUGUCCUCUACCACAUUGUCAUUCUGGACAAGGCAGUCUCCCGAUUUUCCUUGUCCUAUUUGACGAUACGUUUUAUAUUUGCUUCUCUGACUUUGAGUCCUCUUGUUAGCCCCUAAAUGUUUGUGCUCCCCAAGAUUCCGCUGGUGAUCUCCUUUCCUCUCCCCCUCCAUCCUUUCUAUUGAUCUCACCUCCUUCUUAGGCUUCAGAGAGCCGUCUGUGCAGGUGACUAUGAAAUGUGUAUUUCUCAUCCACCUGCUUUGAGCUUAAGAUUUACAUCUGGAGAAGUCAGCCUAGGGGAGCCAUGGCAUCUGAGACUCAGCGUGUCUUAAACCAGAUUCAUCUCUUACUGUCCUCACCAGCUUCUCCAGCUCUCCUUUUAGCUGUAAUGACAGUUCCACUCUCUCAGCCACCAGAUUGUGGUGCCCUUCUUUGCCACAUCUUGCCUUCAUUCUCCACAUUGCAUUCGUUGCAGUUUUCAGGCUUAUCCUUAUAAAGUAUCUUUUCUUCCAAAAAUUGCUUGUGUAUACAUAUGCAUAGAGAGGUAUCUGGAAAUAAAUUCACCAGAAAGUUUAAUUUACCAUCCAGUCUAUCUCUGGGUGAUGGGAUUCUAUGUUGUUCAAGCUUUUUUUUUUUUUUUUUUUUAAUAACAGGCCUUAAUUACUCAUAGACUUGUGCCCAGCGUAUACCCAGUCUGUCUUCUCAGCACUCCCUUGCCCUGAACCCCAUAACUGGGGCUCAGUUGCUGGUUCAUUCAUUCUUUGUACCUCCGGUCAUCAUUUUCCAGGUGCCUUUCAAGUAAACUUUCCUUAGUGAAACCCUUCUCCCAGCUGAAUGUUUCUUCCUUCUGUGGGCCCUCUGGUCUCUAUGCUAUUUCCUGUAUUCUGCCCUCUGCUGUCUAUACAUGUGUAUUUUGUGUUCUGUCCUUUAUUAGAUUGUAAGCUCCAUGAGGGCAGAGUUUGGGUCUGAUUACCCAUCCUUUCCCCCUUUUGGUUACAGUCUCCCAGUUUUUCUUUGGGAGACAACACCUUUUCCCCCUGGCUACAGUUUUGGUGGGAUGGGCAGUUCAGGUGUCCUGCCAACAAGAUGCUCUUCUCCUGGAAUUUGAAUUUUGAGUCAUGAGAUACAAGGACUGACAGUGAUUGGCACUGAUUCAGCCUGGCCGAGGUGCUCUGAAGAAGCCACUCAUUAGUUCCUGCCUCCUAGAUCCCUGGAGCUGCCCUGGUCCCUGAACUCUCCGAAGCCUGGUUCUUCAGAUAUUCCUUCGUAUCUGUGAGCUAUCUCAUAUCCUUACAAUAAAUUCUCUCUCUCUCUUAUUUUAAGUUAACCAAAACCAGCUUCUGUUGCUUUUACCCAACGAUUCCUACCAGUAGAGCUGUUAUGAUUGGAACUGAGCAGACUUAAUCAUUCUAGCUCUUAUAUUAAUUCUGAUGCUUUUUUUUCUUUUCUUUAAAAACACAAACAAAAACAGCCAGAGACUGCUGCUGCUUUGAAACGUACGAUAGAGGCCCUGAUGGACAGAGGAGCAGUAGUGAGGGACUUGGAAAACCUGGGUGAACGAGUGCUUCCUUAUAGGAUGUCUGCCCACAGUCAGCAGCACAACAGAGGCGGGUAUUUCUUGGUGGAUUUUUAUGCACCCACCGCAACUGUUGAAAGCAUGGUGGAGCACUUGUCUCGAGAUAUAGAUGUGAUUAGAGGGAAUAUCGUCAAACACCCUCUGACCCAGGAACUAAAAGAAUGUAAAGGGAUUGUCCCAGUCCCACUUGCAGAAAAAUUGUAUUCCACAAAGAAGAAGAAGAAGUGAGAAGAUGCGCCAGAUUUUAGCCUUAUAUGUAAUUCCUUCACAUUUGAGCAGCAUGGACGAGAAGGAAGAGUUUGCAAGUUUGGCCUUUAUAUAAGCAUGUGUUGCAGGUGCUGUUUGAUUUUUCUAAGGUAUUUUUAGCCCUUGAUCCCCUUUGCUUGCAGGAGGUGAGGAACUGCUCACUGACAGCUUCUCUGUAACCUGCAGUACCAGUGGAUCAUUCUUGAUUUUGUUUUCAUUAGUGUCAUUUCUUUGUCAGUGAGGACUUUUCCCCUUAGAACAGUAACACCAUUUUUUGAAGAGCAAAACUUAUAAUACCUCCUGGGAUUGUGAGCUAGUCAUUCAGCCUGUAUAACCAUGCAGAAAUAAAAAUUGACGACCAAUGUAUUAUAUGGACAACUUUUGCUUUGAGUAAUAAACUUGGUUGUAGGAAUGCG
rnacentral:sRNA from 1 species